UACAGAGGGGCAAGCGUUGUUCGGAAUUACUGGGCGUAAAGGGCGCGUAGGCGGCCUUCUAAGUCGAACGUGAAAUCCCCGGGCUCAACCCGGGAACUGCGUCCGAUACUGGCAGGCUUGAAUCCGGGAGAGGGAUGCGGAAUUCCAGGUGUAGCGGUGAAAUGCGUAGAUAUCUGGAGGAACACCGGUGGCGAAGGCGGCAUCCUGGACCGGUAUUGACGCUGAUGUGCGAAGCGUGGGAGCA
rnacentral:rRNA from 1 species